ACCUGGCUGGCUCAUUUGGUGGAGCAUGCAACUCUUGAUCUCAGGGUUGUGAGUUCGAGCCCCACGUUGGGUG
rnacentral:tRNA from 1 species